rnacentral:rRNA from 1 species
AGUGAACGCUGGCGGUGGGCCUAACACAUGCAAGUCGAACGGCAGCACAGUAAGAGCUUGCUCUUACGGGUGGCGAGUGGCGGACGGGUGAGGAAUACAUCGGAAUCUACUUUUUCGUGGGGGAUAACGUAGGGAAACUUACGCUAAUACCGCAUACGACCUACGGGUGAAAGCAGGGGAUCUUCGGACCUUGCGCGAUUGAAUGAGCCGAUGUCGGAUUAGCUAGUUGGCGGGGUAAGGGCCCACCAAGGCGACGAUCCGUAGCUGGUCUGAGAGGAUGAUCAGCCACACUGGAACUGAGACACGGUCCAGACUCCUACGGGAGGCAGCAGUGGGGAAUAUUGGACAAUGGGCGCAAGCCUGAUCCAGCCAUACCGCGUGGGUGAAGAAGGCCUUCGGGUUGUAAAGCCCUUUUGUUGGGAAAGAAAAGCAGCAGGUUAAUACCCCGCUGUUCUGACGGUACCCAAAGAAUAAGCACCGGCUAACUUCGUG